GCCCCCGUAGCUCAAUGGAUAGAGUGUGGGUUUGCGGAACCUAAGAUCGAAGUUCGAUUCUUCGCGGGGGCACCA
rnacentral:tRNA from 2 species